rnacentral:misc_RNA from 1 species
GAUGAAGAACGUAGCAAAAUGCGAUAAGUAAUGUGAAUUGCAGAAUUCAGUGAAUCAUCGAAUCUUUGAACGCACAUUGCGCCCGCUGGUAUUCCGGCGGGCAUGCCUGUUCGAGCGUCAUUUCAACCCUCAAGCCCCCGGGUUUGGUGUUGGGGAUCGGCUCUGCCCUUCUGGGCGGUGCCGCCCCCGAAAUACAUUGGCGGUCUCGCUGCAGCCUCCAUUGCGUAGUAGCUAACACCUCGCAACUGGAACGCGGCGCGGCCAUGCCGUAAAACCCCAACUUCUGAAUGUUGACCUCUGAUCAGGUAGGAAUACCCGCUGAACUUAAGCAUAUCAAUAAGCGGAGGA